AAUAAGAUCAUUUUUCAGUUUUUUAAUAUAAUAUUUUGACUCUUCGUCUUAUUUAAAAUUUUUUUACGAUUAAUAUUUUUAUUCUUACUAGAUGAUAAAACAUAAAGAAUACAUAAUUUUUUAAGGUUUUGUAUAAAUUUUUCAAAUAAGACGAGUGAUCAAACAUUGGACAUGGAAAA
rnacentral:pre_miRNA from 1 species